CGAACGGGUGAGUAACGCGUGAGGAACCUGCCUCAAAGAGGGGACGAACAGUUGGAAACGACUGCUAAUACCGCAUAAGCCCACGGGUCGGCAUCGACCAGAGGGAAAAGGAGCAAUCCGCUUUGAGAUGGCCUCGCGUCCGAUUAGCUAGUUGGUGAGGUAAUGGCCCACCAAGGCGACGAUCGGUAGCCGGACUGAGAGGUUGAACGGCCACAUUGGGACUGAGACACGGCCCAGACUCCUACGGGAGGCAGCAUG
rnacentral:rRNA from 1 species